CUGCGCCAGCACCAGCCCUGGCAGAGGAUGGAGGACCCGGUGUCCCCUGCACCAGCCAGUGACAAAGGCUUUGACAACCCCAUGUUCAGCGUGGAACCUCCAGAUGCUGACCUUGGAGAGGAGACACCCAAAGAUCUCCAGGUUUUCUACCUCAACCCUCUGUACGAUGCAAGCGAGACAGAGACCUGAUGGUGUGGACUCAUGCUGGGGGCAGACACCACUCCCUUGGGGACAUCACUGCCUCUCCAGCCCUCACAGCCCCUCACAGUCCUUAACAUCACUCCUGGUGGGAUUUAAGCCAGAAGCAGAUCCCACCUGAAUAAAAGUGUCUGUGCAGUGAAGGAAACCAUAGCAAACCUUCACUGUUGGGACUCAGUCACAUGGA